CUCCGCGAUGAGGAGUCUGAACGGGACGCAGUCGGUCACUGGGCUACAGGCACAUUCUGUGUCUCUGGGUUCAGUUCCCCACAGCACACGUAUUUUCAUUUUCAGUUGAAGACAUAAAUGCAUUUGUCUGAAGAGG
rnacentral:snoRNA from 1 species